rnacentral:misc_RNA from 1 species
AAGUUCAAAGGAAAAGUUGAGAGCUUAAACAUGCAAUUUUUUAAAUUUGGACUUGGCAUUUUAACCAAGUCCAGGCAUAUUAAAUAGUUUGACAUCCGUUGCAAAAUGGUGAGCUUGGAGUCUUCGUCCACUAGUGGCAAAUUCACUCUCAGCUAUCAUUCCUGUUUUCUUAUCUUAUUUCUCAGCCACCCAACUCAAAAACCACACCAAAAUACCACUACCAGUCUUUCGCUUUGGUUUGGCUCCAAAACUCUAGCCUUCUCAUGACUUCAUUCUGUACCACCCAUUUAAAUACUUCCUAGAAAUUUGAAGGCGAAGAAAAAAUGAAAAUGGCUGCAGCCACCUGCCUGCAACAUGUGGGUGCACCACCCUCAAUCAAUCUCCAGCAGAAGCAGCACCAUCACUACCCAACAAUGCGAAACACAGUGAUGAUGGGACUGGGACUGGGACUAGGAGGAGGGACUUCCUCGUUAAGCAAAACUGGAAAAAGGGUUGGUGGGGUGGUAAGAUGUAUAGGAAUAGCGGACUUCAUAGGAGGGGAUUUGGUGAAGUUUGAUUUAGGACGUUGGCUAUCAGAUGUGGAAGAGCACAAAGCCCUUGCCAUUUACACCCCUCACGAGGGAGGUUAUGAGGGCCGUUACCUUACUCGCCUCAGGUACCAAGGCUACUAUUUCCUAGACCUCACUGCUCGUGGCCUUGGCGAUCCUGAGACCACCCUUACCAAGAUUCACCCUGUUUGCCCUGCACAUCUCGGGAAGCAACCCAUAGCAAGGUGGUACUUUCCACCAGAAGUCGAUUAUCGACUAGCUGCUUUGCCCCCAGAUGCAAAAGGACUUGUCGUCUGGAUAAUUGAAGCGAAGGUUUUGUCGAAGGCUGAAUUGCAGUUUCUGGCAUUGCUUCCCUCACUUCGGCCUAAAGUCAGGGUCAUUGCUGAAUGUGGAAACUGGUAGAACUUUCCUUUACAAGGCUCGUUCAUAACCAAAAUUUUCUGCCCCAUUAAAAUCUUCAGCCCGUUCCAUCCUACUUAGAAAUCAUACAUGUAAAAAAUAGUUCAUCAAUUCAUUGCAUGCGCAGGAGAAAGUUCACGUGGAAGCCACUCAAAGAGAUUGCAGGACUUACCACACAGAUGAAGCUUGAUUAAUUACUUUAGAGGCAGCAGAGAGGGAAAUCCCUGUGCCUCAGUUCUGAUCUUGCCUUUCACCUCGAAGGCUGUGCUGCAAUUGUGAAGAUGAAGAUGAAGAUGAUGA